AACGCACAUUGCGCCCUUUGGUAUUCCAAAGGGCAUGCCUGUUCGAGCGUCAUUUGUACCCUCAAGCUUUGCUUGGUGUUGGGCGUUUGUCUCGCCUCUGCGUGUAGACUCGCCUUAAAACAAUUGGCAGCCGGCGUAUUGAUUUCGGAGCGCAGUACAUCUCGCGCUUUGCACUCAUAACGACGACGUCCAAAAGUACAUUUUUACACUCUUGACCUCGGAUCAGGUAGGGAUACCCGCUGAACUUAA
rnacentral:misc_RNA from 1 species